CCGGAGGCCCGGGCCCCUCUGACGGCGCAUUCCGCCGCCAUGUCGGUCCUCUUCA
rfam:Azorhizobium caulinodans ORS 571 DNA, complete genome.